rnacentral:rRNA from 1 species
UGGGGGAUAUUGCACAAUGGGCGAAAGCCUGAUGCAGCGACGCCGCGUGGGGGAUGAAGGCCUUCGGGUUGUAAACUUCUUUUGCUCUGAACAAGGCAUGCUAAUGGGUGUGUUGAGUGUAGGGGUUGAUUAGCGCCGGCUAACUACGUGCCAGCAGCCGCGGUAAUACGUAGGGCGCGAGCGUUGUCCGGAAUUAUUGGGCGUAAAGGGCUUGUAGGUGGCUGGUUGCGUCUGUCGUGAAAGCUCAUGGCUUAACUGUGGGUUUGCGGUGGGUACGGGCUGGCUUGAGUGUAGUAGGGGAGGCUGGAAUUCCUGGUGUAGCGGUGGAAUGCGCAGAUAUCAGGAGGAAUACCGGUGGCGAAGGCGGGUCUCUGGGCUGUUACUGACACUGAGGAGCGAAAGCAUGGGGAGCGAACAGG